UCACUGUGUACGUUACAGCAC
rnacentral:miRNA from 1 species